rnacentral:rRNA from 1 species
CCUACGGGUGGCUGCAGUGAGGAAUAUUGGUCAAUGGUCGUAAGACUGAACCAGCCAAGUAGCGUGCAGGAUGAAGGCCCUAUGGGUUGUAAACUGCUUUUACACGGGGAUAACAUCCUCCACGUGUGAUGGUCUGCAGGUACCGCAUGAAUAAGGGCCGGCUAAUUCCGUGCCAGCAGCCGCGGUAAUACGGAAGGGCCGAGCGUUAUCCGGAUUUAUUGGGGUUAAAGGGAGCGUAGGCCGCUCGUCAAGCCUGCCGUUAAAGUCCGUGGCUCAACCAUGGCACCGCGGUGGAAACUGGAUGGCUUGAGUGCACGAGAGGCAUGCGGAAUUCGUGGUGUAGCGGUGAAAUGCUUAGAUAUCACGAGGAACCCCGAUUGCGAAGGCAGCAUACGGGAGUGCUACUGACGCUGAGGCUCGAAGGCGCGGGUAUCAAACAGGAUUAGAUACCCGUGUAGUC